GAUGAGAGACAGGGGCGCACGCCGAAAGGCGGGCUGAGAAGUACCCUUUGAACCUGAACCAGAUAAUGCUGGCGGAGGGAGUCGCUCGGGACUUGCC
rnacentral:ncRNA from 2 species